UACGUAGGGUGCAAGCGUUAAUCGGAAUUACUGGGCGUAAAGCGUGCGCAGGCGGUCUUGCAAGACAGAUGUGAAAUCCCCGGGCUCAACCUGGGAACUGCAUUUGUGACUGCAAGGCUGGAGUACGGUAGAGGGGGAUGGAAUUCCGCGUGUAGCAGUGAAAUGCGUAGAUAUGCGGAGGAACACCGAUGGCGAAGGCAAUCCCCUGGACCUGUACUGACGCUCAUGCACGAAAGCGUGGGGAGCAAACAGG
rnacentral:rRNA from 1 species